rnacentral:rRNA from 1 species
GUUGUUAUAUUACUUUUUUUUAUUCUUUUUUAUGUUUUUUUUUGUAAAAUGUUUUGAUUUUUUUGUAUUUUUUUGUAAUAUUUAAAAUUUGUUUUUUGAACUGGAUUAGUACCCAGGUAAUCAAAGUUUAUUAAUUCGGGAGUAAAGUUUUGUUUAAACCGAAAAAAUAUUGACUGACUUUAGAUUUUUCUUUGGAAUAUGUGUUUUUGGAGAGCCCUCUUUUUUGGUGAAUUUUAUUGGCACAUGUAUGAUUGUUUAGUUUUUAUGUUAUUUGUGUUGCUUUUUUGUUUUUUUGCAUUUAAAACAGAUAUAUAUUUGGCUUAUAAAUUUAUUUUUCAUGUAUUACUAUUAUUAAUUUUUUUUGGAUUUAUUUUUUAUUUUAUUUUUGAAAUUGGAAAAGAAAGUAAUUUUUUCUUUAUGUGUUAAUGAAUUUAAUAA